rnacentral:rRNA from 1 species
UACAGAGGUCCCAAGCGUUGUUCGGAUUCACUGGGCGUAAAGGGUGCGUAGGCGGCGGGGUAAGUCUGGUGUGAAAUCUCGGAGCUCAACUCCGAAAUUGCACUGGAUACUGCUCUGCUAGAGGGCUGGAGAGGAGAUCGGAAUUCACGGUGUAGCAGUGAAAUGCGUAGAUAUCGUGAGGAAGACCAGUGGCGAAGGCGGAUCUCUGGACAGCUCCUGACGCUGAGGCGCGAAGGCUAGGGGAGCAAACGGG